UUGUCUGGCAAAGCCUGAAAUUGCAACAAAGUUAUUAUAAGGGCGAAGGAGAUCUGAAUAAAGCACAAUGGGUCAUACCUAUCUACACUUAUUGAAUGUCACCAGCUGUGACUGGUACUCCGCUGUCUAGCUAAGGUAGCAUUUCCUCUGCAGCCUGGCAAUGUUACAGUGUUCGCUCCAGACUUCUUUGUUUAAAGAGGAAACAGUGAUUAACCAAGACUUGUUAAAGACGCUACUUGGACACAUUUUGUCAAAGUCUACAUCUAAACUGGGGUUUUGGAUAUUUGUGUUAAAAUUCGGUUAGCCCAAAUUUUCUCCUAAGGUGGAAUGAAAUAGCUUACCUUCACCUCGCCAAGAGCAAGGUGAACAACGGCCCCCUCAUAAAGACAUCAAGCUAAACAUCAGUGAAGCGCGCCAUGGGAGAUGUGUCGGCUUGAUGUCAGUGGCCUCCCUCAACUGGACAGAUUUAUUUUUGUGUAUGACUGGACGUCUUUCUGAUUUUUAAUGUGCGAUGCAGAGAAGUGGAAAUUCUCAAAGUUAAGUCAUCGUCAUGGUCCUGGGUUUUGUGUCAUUUUGGAGUUGGGAAUUUUUAAUCAGAAUUUGGGAUUCUGUUUUUGAAUUUUUGUUAUCUUAAUGUUUGAACUUUUCCAUGGCUGUAUAUAUCAUGGCUGUCAUGAUAUAAUUAUUUUAUUUUGAGAGUUCUUGUGAUAUUGUGGAGUCUUUCUGUUUGUUCUUAAUGGUUUUCCUUGCAAUAAGUGAUUGUUUUGGAGUUUUGGAGUUCUUUUGCUUCAUGUUGCUUCAUGUUUUCAUGAAUGGACACUGUCCCAAGUUUCAUUCAUCCCAAUACGAUUACCUUUAAUAUUCCAAAAAAAAAAAAUUCUGUCUAAUUUUAAUGGUUUUAAAUACCUGUUCACCUUGUAAAGCCUGAAC